GACAGAGGCCUCGAGCGUUAGGCGGAAUCACCGGGCUUAAAGCGUGUGUAGGCGGGCCCGUAAGUGUCUUGUGAAAUCCCACGGCUCAACCGUGGAACUGCUGGGCAUACUGCGGGUCUUGGGCCAACUAGGGGCAGCCGGAACAAGCGGUGGAGCGGUGAAAUGCGUAGAUAUCGUCAGGAACGCCAAUGGUGAAGACAGGUAACUGGGCUAGUUCUGACACUGAGGCACGAAAGCGUGGGGAGCGAACGGG
rnacentral:rRNA from 1 species